CCUACGGGGGGCAGCAGUGAGGAAUAUUGGGCAAUGGCCGUAAGGCUGAACCAGCCAAGUCGCGGGAAGGAAGAAGGAGCUAUGGAUUGUAAACUGCUGUUAUAGGGGAAUAAAGGGAUACACGUGUGGAUAUUUGCAUGUACCCUAUGAAUAAGCAUCGGCUAACUCCGUGCCAGCAGCCGCGGUAAUACGGAGGAUGCGAGCGUUAUGCGGAUUUAUUGGGUUUAAAGGGUGCGUAGGUUGUUUUUUAAGUCAGCGGUGAAAGUUUGUGGCUCAACCAUAAAAUUGCCGUUGAAACUGGAAGACUUGCGUGUGUUUGAGGUAGGCGGAAUGCGUGGUGUAGCGGUGACAUGCCUAGAUAUCACGCAGAACUCCGAUUGCGAAGGCAGCUUACUAAGCCAUAACUGACACUGAAGCACGAAAGCGUGGGGAUCAAACAGGAUUAGAUACCCGAGUAGUC
rnacentral:rRNA from 1 species